rnacentral:lncRNA from 7 species
CCCUUUGAUACUUCUUCCCCUUGUGCUUGCCAUGGAAUAUGCAAAUCACUGUAACGCUAUUGUAAAACAACUUCCUGCCCCUUUUGGCUCCGGUUCCAGAAGCUGCUAGGCUAAGUUCAUAGCGCAAACUUUUUUUCCCCCCUUGCCGAAGAAGAAAGACAAAAAAAAAUAAAUGUCCUGCAAAUGAUUCUCCUCCUUCUCCGGCUGAUGGACUCACAAGGUGAAUUCAUUGCAGCUCUGUAAGAAUGUCACACAAGAGGCAGCGCUAUCCCAGCUGGAUAAUUCAUGAGCCGAAAGCAGAGAACGCCAUUUUGAGGCUGUCACACAUUUCUGUGUCCAAAGUGGAUAACGCCUGCGGAAAGCAUAAGAAUGAUAUUCUCAUGCUGCAGAAAAAGGUAACAAAAAAGCAACACCAGUACUGAAGAACACAUGGUGAAGUGGAUGGACCUCGUAUUUUCAUUACUAUAUGUACUAAUGUUAGCUAAUGAACAUAAGUGAAGAAUAUACACAUGCUAAACUGACAUUAUCAUCUUUAUUGGAUAGUGGAUAUAGUAAGCAUAGCUUUCCCCUCUAUCUUCUAUUAAAAUGUAAAGCAAGUAGUCUUGGCGAAUUUCAAGUAACGAAUAAAGGAAACAGGAGUGUCUAUUUCAGUAUUGCUGUAUUCAGUGUCCCUUGCUACUGACAUACUAACUUUGUGCCCUUCUUGCUUGGCUCAGCUUUAAAUGCAAGCUUUCAUUAAAAUGGAAUGACAUUGGAGUUGCUUGGCCACUUUUUAAAAUGUUAUUUUAUUAAUAUUUUAAUAAUAAAUAAUUAUUUUGCU